CCAGCUAGCUUACAUGGCACUGUUUUUAGCACAUCUGAUAUUGGAGAAGCUGUAGGCUGGAGACGCUCUCCGGGAUUUGAACCCAGGUGGCUUCUCUCCAGAGGCUGCACCCUCAACCAGUAUCAUGUAUCUCUGCUUUCAGUCGUCUCUAAGGAUGAUGACUCCUGUCAAGAUCCUCUUUUCUGUCUGUUUCAGGUUUUGCUCAUCUUUGCAAAGGAAGAUAGUCAGAGUGAUGGAUUCUGGUGGGCCUGUGACAGAGCCGGUUACAGCUGCAAUAUUGCUCGGACUCCAGAGUCAGCCCUGGAAUGCUUUCUAGAUAAACAUCAUGAGAUUAUUGUAAUCGAUCACAGACAGACUCGAAACUUCGAUGCAGAAGCAGUGUGCAGGUCAAUCCGGGCCACGAACCCCUCGGAGCACGCAGUGAUCCUCGCCGUGGUCUCACAAACAUCCGGCAACUAUGAAGAGGCCUCUGUGCUCCCCCUUCUGCACGCGGGCUUCAACAGGAGAUUUAUGGAGAACAGCAGCAUAAUUGCUUGCUACAAUGAACUGAUUCAAAUAGAACAUGGGGAAGUUCUCUCACAGUUCAAAUUAAGGUAUGUGAUUCUCAAGAUUCAUCGUGAUUCAGGAGACAAUUCUCAGACAGAGUCUCAUUCAUUCAGAUACAAGAACAGGAGGAAAGAGUCCGUUGAUGUGAAAUCAAUAUCAUCUCGAGGCAGUGAUGCACCAAGUCUGCAGAACCGUCGCUACCCAUCCAUGGCGCGGAUCCACUCCAUGACCAUCGAGGCGCCCAUCACGAAGGUUAUAAAUAUAAUCAAUGCAGCCCAAGAAAACAGUCCUGUCACAGUGGCAGAAGCCUUGGACAGAGUUUUAGAAAUUUUACGAACUACGGAACUGUACUCCCCUCAGCUGGGUACCAAAGAUGAAGAUCCCCACACCAGUGAUCUCGUGGGCGGGCUGAUGACUGAUGGCUUGAGAAGGCUGUCAGGAAACGAGUACGUGUUCACUAAGAACGUGCACCAGAGUCAUAGUCACCUUGCGAUGCCAGUAACCAUCAAUGAUGUCCCCCCUUCCAUCGCCCAAUUACUUGAUAAUGAGGAAAGCUGGGACUGGGAGUUCAACAUCUUUGAACUGGAAGCUGUGACACACAAAAGGCCAUUGGUUUACCUGGGCUUGAAAGUUUUCUCCCGGUUUGGAGUAUGUGAAUUUCUACACUGUUCUGAAACUACUCUUCGGGCCUGGCUCCAGGUGAUUGAAGCCAACUACCACUCUUCCAAUGCUUACCACAACUCCACUCAUGCCGCUGACGUCCUGCACGCCACAGCCUUCUUCCUCGGCAAGGAGAGAGUGAAGGGAAGCCUCGAUCAGCUGGACGAGGUGGCCGCCCUGAUCGCUGCCACAGUCCACGAUGUGGACCACCCGGGAAGGACCAACUCUUUCCUGUGCAACGCGGGCAGUGAGCUUGCUGUGCUUCACCACACGGCCCUGGCCUUCCAGCUCACGGUCAAGGACAGCAAAUGCAACAUUUUCAAGAAUAUCGACAGGAACCAUUAUCGAACACUGCGCCAAGCUAUUAUUGACAUGGUUUUAGCAACAGAGAUGACAAAACACUUUGAACAUGUGAACAAAUUUGUGAACAGCAUCAACAAGCCAAUGGCAGCUGAGAUUGACGGCAGCGACUGCGAGUGCAGCCCUCCCGGGAAGAACUUCCCUGAGAACCAAACCCUGAUCAAACGCAUGAUGAUCAAGUGUGCGGACGUAGCCAACCCCUGCCGCCCCUUGGACCUGUGCAUUGAAUGGGCUGGCAGGAUCUCUGAGGAGUACUUUGCGCAGACGGAUGAAGAGAAGAGACAGGGGCUGCCCGUAGUGAUGCCAGUGUUUGACCGGAAUACCUGUAGCAUCCCCAAGUCCCAAAUCUCCUUUAUUGACUACUUCAUAACAGACAUGUUUGAUGCUUGGGAUGCCUUUGCACACCUGCCAACGCUGAUGCAACAUUUGGCCGAUAACUACAAACACUGGAAGACGUUAGACGACCUAAAGUGCAAAACUGAUUCACUGUAA
ensembl:lncRNA